rnacentral:rRNA from 1 species
UACGUAGGGUGCGAGCGUUGUCCGGAAUUAUUGGGCGUAAAGAGCUCGUAGGCGGUGUGUCACGUCGUUCGUGAAAACCUGCAGCUUAACUGUGGGCGUGCGGUCGAUACGGGCAUCACUGGAGUUCGGCAGGGGAGACUGGAAUUCCUGGUGUAGCGGUGAAAUGCGCAGAUAUCAGGAGGAACACCGGUGGCGAAGGCGGCUCACUGGCCCGGUACUGACGCUGGAGGUGCGGAAAGCGUGGGUAGCAAACAGG